rnacentral:tRNA from 1 species
AGGGGUAUAGCUCAGUGGUAGAGCACUUACAUGGUAUGUAUAAGGUCCUGGGUUAGAUCCCUAGUACUAGUU